UACGUAGGGCGCAAGCGUUGUCCGGAAGUAUUGGGAGUAAAGAGCUCGUAGGCGGUUUGUCGCGUCUGCUGUGAAAACCUAAGGCUCAACCUUGGGCUUGCAGUGGGUACGGGCAGACUAGAGUGCGGUAGGGGUGACUGGAAUUCCUGGUGUAGCGGUGGAAUGCGCAGAUAUCAGGAGGAACACCGAUGGCGAAGGCAGGUCACUGGGCAGUAACUGACGCUGAGGAGCGAAAGCGUGGUGAGCGAACAGG
rnacentral:rRNA from 1 species